GUGGGGAAUAUUGGACAAUGGGGGGAACCCUGAUCCAGCCAUGCCGCGUGUGUGAAGAAGGCCUUUUGGUUGUAAAGCACUUUAGGCGAGGAGGAGGCUACCGAGAUUAAUACUCUUGGAUAGUGGACGUUACUCGCAGAAUAAGCACCGGCUAACUCUGUGCCAGCAGCCGCGGUAAUACAGAGGGUGCAAGCGUUAAUCGGAUUUACUGGGCGUAAAGCGCGCGUAGGUGGCCAAUUAAGUCAAAUGUGAAAUCCCCGAGCUUAACUUGGGAAUUGCAUUCGAUACUGGUUGGCUAGAGUAUGGGAGAGGAUGGUAGAAUUCCAGGUGUAGCGGUGAAAUGCGUAGAGAUCUGGAGGAAUACCGAUGGCGAAGGCAGCCAUCUGGCCUAAUACUGACACUGAGGUGCGAAAGCAUGGGGAGCAAACAGGAUUAGAUACCCGGGUAGUCC
rnacentral:rRNA from 1 species